UAAAGACGCGGCAUGUUGCGUGGUUCGCAUUAUUGCUGAAAUGAAAGAAAACAAUGAUACUGAAUUUGAUGUACCAGAAAUA